UACGGAGGAUCCGAGCGUUAUCCGGAUUUAUCGGGUUUAAAGGGUGCGCAGGCGGGAUGUUAAGUCGGCGGUGAAAUUUUGCAGCUCAACUGUAAAAGUGCCUUCGAUACUGGCUUUCUUGAGUGUGGAUGAAGUAGGCGGAAUUUGUGGUGUAGCGGUGAAAUGCUUAGAUAUCACGAGGAACUCCGAUUGCGCAGGCAGCUUACUAAACCACUACUGACGCUCAUGCACGAAGGCGUGGGGAUCAAACAGGAUUAGAUA
rnacentral:rRNA from 1 species